rnacentral:rRNA from 1 species
GUCGAAUGACUUGGAAAAGUCAGUCAAAGAGGGUAAAAACCCCGUAGACGAAAUGUGGAAGACACCUAGGAGGAUCCUGAGUACGGCGGAACACGAGAAAUUCCGUCGGAAUCCGGGAGGACCAUCUCCCAAGGCUAAAUACUCCCUAGUGACCGAUAGUGAACCAGUACCGUGAGGGAAAGGUGAAAAGCACCCCGGAAGGGGAGUGAAAUAGAACCUGAAACCGUGUGCCUACAACAAGUCAAAGCCCGUUAAUGGGUGAUGGCGUGCCUUUUGUAGAAUGAACCGGCGAGUUACGAUUGCAUGCGAGGUUAAGUUGAAGAGACGGAGCCGCAGCGAAAGCGAGUCUGAAUAGGGCGUUUGAGUAUGUAGUCGUAGACCCGAAACCAUGUGAUCUACCCAUGUCCAGGUUGAAGGUGCGGUAAAACGCACUGGAGGACCGAACCCACGUACGUUGAAAAGUGCGGGGAUGAGGUGUGGGUAGCGGAGAAAUUCCAAACGAACUUGGAGAUAGCUGGUUCUCUCCGAAAUAGCUUUAGGGCUAGCCUCGGAAUUGAGAAUGAUGGAGGUAGAGCACUGUUUGGACUAGGGGCCCAUCUCGGGUUACCGAAUUCAGAUAAACUCCGAAUGCCAUUCAUUCAUAUCCGGGAGUCAGACUGUGAGUGAUAAGAUCCAUAGUCGAAAGGGAAACAGCCCAGACCACCAGCUAAGGUCCCAAAAUAUAUGUUAAGUGGAAAAGGAUGUGGGGUUGCACAGACAACUAGGAUGUUGGCUUAGAAGCAGCCACCAUUUAAAGAGUGCGUAAUAGCUCACUAGUCGAGUGACCCUGCGCCGAAAAUGUACCGGGGCUAAACAUAUUACCGAAGCUGUGGAGUACACCUUUAGGUGUAUUGGU